UAAAAAUUUGCUGUAACUCAUGCAGUAAAAUACUGUGAUUUACAACAGUAAUAUGUUGUAAUAACGAUUUUACGAUAAUUAACUGUAUAAGUACGUUGCUGUACAGUAUAUUGCUGUAAACAUCAGUGUCGUAGAGCAUGGGAACAAAUAUCUACAGUAAGCUAGUGUAAAGGAGCGUGCAAAAAGCAUUGUGGGAUACAGCGCACAUGCGCAUUAGGCGGAUCGGCUGCAUAUGCGCGUAUGCGUUGCACGUGAUUGGCUCCCGCGCUACCCGCCACGCCGCGCCGCCAUUUUUAAUUUUCUGCAAAGAUUUGAGCUGAGAUAUAUAGCUGAGCUGGCCGGCCUGAUCCUGAGCAACGAAUCUGAAUCUGUUCCUGGUCCUGAUCCUCGAGCUGGGAUAUUGAUGACCAAUAAGUCAAUUCCAAGGGGAUCCGAGUAUGCCAUGGAUUACUGCUGAAGUCACACAGUGUGCAUGCUGAAACACUAAUCAGACGGAUGCUCUACAUGGACAUCAUAUACCCAUGUACGUUUGUAAGCUAUGUAAUCAUUCUUCUGGAUCAUUGAAGCGGUUUUCUGAACACUUUUCAGUCCAUAGAAAUGUGGUGAAUUUCGAUUUCCCGUGUGGUGUUCCUGGCUGCAAUCGAACAUUCAGAAAUUAUUCAUCCUUCAAAACCCAUGUGCAUAGGGAUCAUCAACCAUUUUCAAGAAAAAAAGAUGCCCAGUUUUUCUGCGUUUCUACCUGGAAUUGUCCACUCUGUGCUGUAAAAUGUGAGGAAUGGAAUCCACUCAUAUAGGGGUACUUUUUAUAUCGCAACAUGUCUGUUGUUCUGGAAAAAAAGGGGUUUUCCCCUCUAGGUACUUUACUGAUGGGGAUAGAUCAGGGUAAAUUUCCCGAUCACAGAAUACCUGGUAUUCUCGAACUUCCAGUCAGUCUGAAUACGCCUUAAGAUAUAUAUACUGGAAAUGUCAUUUCUUGCAAAAUUUAUAACAUGUUCUGUAUAAUUAUAAGAAGUGUAUCUUAGUACAGACUAACAUUCAGAACAAAUUACAGGGGCGCCUACAUACUACAUCAAUUUCAAAAUUAUCAAUAAAAAAAAAUCCCACUUACAUUGAGUAUCUGAACCCUUUACUUUCACACACUUUCUUAAAAUUUUAUUUGUGUCUUUUUGCCCUUUUUAGACAUUUGCAAAUGUUAUGCUUGCAAAAGGGAUCAUGUACCUUUAAUAUGCAUUUCAAUUGAACUUAAUAUGAAACAUCACAAGUGAAAAUUGAAAUUUGAAAUCAAAUAUUUUGUUAGUGAGGGAGGUUAAAAAAGUCACGUGACUUCGUGGUAUUAAGGAAGCCGUGUGUUUAGCCUUGAUGCAAAGAGACCAACUACAGGGAGCCCAAACUUUUUUAAUAAAUUGUGUCUAGCGGUCAUUGAACUUCCUAGACAAAGCAUUAGCACAUGUAUUCUGUGAGCCUGGCAUGUGUGCAGCCUUGUCAUCAUAAGCAUUGCUUGAUUGUUUACUUACUGUUUUCCAAAAUAUGUUUUACAUUACUUGCAAUUUAGCAUUAUUUUACCUUAGUGAAUUUUCAUAUAUUUUAGUCUGUACAUGCAAUACACCUUUAUUUUAAUAAAUUUAAUAAGUCAUGAAAUAAAUGAAUUUGCCAAAUAUUAGGCCUAUAUUUAAGUAACCUAUAUUUUAUUUCGACAUAUUUCAAGUUAUAUAAUAAUAUAUUUUUUUUAAGUAACUUAUAUUUUAUUACGAUAUAUGUUACGUUAUAUGGUAAUAUGUUUUUUUAUCAUAUUUAAUACGUAGCAAUAUUGUAGCUAAACGAAUUUCAUAAUUUUAUGUUUUCAUUUUACAUGUACACAAAUUGAUCAUAUUUUCUAUUUUCUUUGUUCAUUGUGCACAUUGGUAAUUCUAUUUCAUUAAUUUCUGUAUAUCAUGUAUAUUUUCUUAUUGUCAAGUAUGUUUUACGGUUUUUGUUAUUUUGCACAGCCCCUUUGUAAACCAGCCGAGUAGCUGAAUAGGGCUUUUACCGUCAAUAAAUCAAUCAAUCAAUCAAUUGAAUGACAGCUCAUGAAGUUGAAACAAGUUUCUGUGCAGAAUUGGCAUGUAAAUGAGACAAAAAUACAGAAGAAUAUGAAACACGUAUUAAAGAUUACAAGUUUAAUAUAACAGAGCAACUCAAAUUAAAUGGGGUAUUAGUUCAAAAGAUAAAUUAAACAAAAAUAAAGUGAGUAAUGUCUUUUGGAGAGAUUCUACCAGGUAUAGAGAGUUUUCCUUGAUUCUGCCAGGUAUAUGGAGACUUUUCAUUGAUUGUAUUCUGAUAGUAGUUGUCGUUUAAUAGUGGCUUUAAAGGAAGAUAAAAGUGUAUAAAAUAUGUCUUGUUUACAAUUGAAGAUAAUUCUUUACAAUAGUUUUUUACAAUUCUGAAUUUUAAAGUGAACAUAUUGUUGUCUGUUCGACAAAUAAUUUUUGACCCAAGAAAGUGCAGUGCCCCUAAGCCAUACGUUGUGAUUUAGCAUAUCAAUGCCUUAAAGCCGCUAUGUCUGCACAAUUGCAUGUGUUAUUCUGUCGUAUAAUUAAAUUAAUGCUAGGUCGGGUGAAUGAUUUUUUUUAAAGCCAUAUUGGUUGGGAUUAAGCAAGUUAUGUGUAUUUCAGAAUUGGUAUAAUCUAAACAAUUUUUUCAAGAAUUUUUGAGAUACUGGAAGGAUGACUAUGGGUCUGUAGAUUCUUGAGUACUUGAACUUUUGCAGUUUUUAGUGGUUUUACUUGUUUUAAUGUUUUACUUGAUAGUUUCUUUGCAAGCAUUUUCAUAAUGUUACACUAUUUGAGAAACUUGUUUUAUGGAGCGUUGAUUACCCAAUAAAGACUUUAAUAAUGA